CGAAAGCCUGACGGAGCAAGACCGCGUGAGGGAGGAAGGCUCUUGGGUUGUAAACCUCUUUUCUCAGGGAAGAAGCUCUGACGGUACCUGAGGAAUCAGCCUCGGCUAACUCCGUGCCAGCAGCCGCGGUAAUACGGAGGAGGCAAGCGUUAUCCGGAAUGAUUGGGCGUAAAGCGUUCGUAGGUGGCAAUUCAAGUCUGCUGUCAAAGACAGUAGCUCAACUACUGCAAGGCAGUGGAAACUGAAUAGCUAGAGUGCGGUAGGGGCAGAGGGAAUUCCCGGUGUAGCGGUGAAAUGCGUAGAGAUCGGGAAGAACAUCGGUGGCGAAGGCGCUCUACUGGACUGCAACUGACACUCAGGGACGAAAGCUAGGGGAGCG
rnacentral:rRNA from 1 species